rnacentral:pre_miRNA from 1 species
CCCGACCAUAUUGUCCUGUCACAGCAGUACUGCCUGGUUACUGCUGCGCCGGGACAAGCGGUCGUG